GAUGAACGCUAGCUACAGGCUUAACACAUGCAAGUCGAGGGGCAUCAGGAAGAAAGCUUGCUUUCUUUGCUGGCGACCGGCGCACGGGUGAGUAACACGUAUCCAACCUGCCCUUUACUCGGGGAUAGCCUUUCGAAAGAAAGAUUAAUACCCGAUAGCAUAAUGAUUCCGCAUGGUUUCAUUAUUAAAGGAUUCCGGUAAAGGAUGGGGAUGCGUUCCAUUAGGUUGUUGGUGAGGUAACGGCUCACCAAGCCUUCGAUGGAUAGGGGUUCUGAGAGGAAGGUCCCCCACAUUGGAACUGAGACACGGUCCAAACUCCUACGGGAGGCAGCAGUGAGGAAUAUUGGUCAAUGGGCGCUAGCCUGAACCAGCCAAGUAGCGUGAAGGAUGAAGGCUCUAUGGGUCGUAAACUUCUUUUAUAUAAGAAUAAAGUGCAGUAUGUAUACUGUUUUGUAUGUAUUAUAUGAAUAAGGAUCGGCUAACUCCGUGCCAGCAGCCGCGGUAAUACGGAGGAUCCGAGCGUUAUCCGGAUUUAUUGGGUUUAAAGGGAGCGUAGGUGGACUGGUAAGUCAGUUGUGAAAGUUUGCGGCUCAACCGUAAAAUUGCAGUUGAUACUGUCAGUCUUGAGUACAGUAGAGGUGGGCGGAAUUCGUGGUGUAGCGGUGAAAUGCUUAGAUAUCACGAAGAACUCCGAUUGCGAAGGCAGCUCACUGGACUGCAACUGACACUGGUGCUCGAAAGUGUGGGUAUCAAACCAGG
rnacentral:rRNA from 1 species